rnacentral:rRNA from 1 species
UGACGGAGCAACGCCGCGUGAGUGAUGAAGGUUUUCGGAUCGUAAAGCUCUGUUGUUAGGGAAGAACAAGUGCCGUUCAAAUAGGGCGGCACCUUGACGGUACCUAACCAGAAAGCCACGGCUAACUACGUGCCAGCAGCCGCGGUAAUACGUAGGUGGCAAGCGUUGUCCGGAAUUAUUGGGCGUAAAGGGCUCGCAGGCGGUUUCUUAAGUCUGAUGUGAAAGCCCCCGGCUCAACCGGGGAGGGUCAUUGGAAACUGGGGAACUUGAGUGCAGAAGAGGAGAGUGGAAUUCCACGUGUAGCGGUGAAAUGCGUAGAGAUGUGGAGGAACACCAGUGGCGAAGGCGACUCUCUGGUCUGUAACUGACGCUGAGGAGCGAAAGCGUGGGGAGCGAACAGGAUUAGAUACCCUGGUAGUCCACGCCGUAAACGAUGAGUGCUAAGUGUUAGGGGGUUUCCGCCCCUUAGUGCUGCAGCUAACGCAUUAAGCACUCCGCCUGGGGAGUACGGUCGCAAGACUGAAACUCAAAGGAAUUGACGGGGGCCCGCACAAGCGGUGGAGCAUGUGGUUUAAUUCGAAGCAACGCGAAGAACCUUACCAGGUCUUGACAUCCUCUGACAAUCCUAGAGAUAGGACGUCCCCUUCGGGGGCAGAGUGACAGGUGGUGCAUGGUUGUCGUCAGCUCGUGUCGUGAGAUGUUGGGUUAAGUCCCGCAACGAGCGCAACCCUUGAUCUUAGUUGCCAGCAUUCAGUUGGGCACUCUAAGGUGACUGCCGGUGACAAACCGGAGGAAGGUGGGGAUGACGUCAAAUCAUCAUGCCCCUUAUGACCUGGGCUACACACGUGCUACAAUGGGCAGAACAAAGGGCAGCGAAACCGCGAGGUUAAGCCAAUCCCACAAAUCUGUUCUCAGUUCGGAUCGCAGUCUGCAACUCGACUGCGUGAAGCUGGAAUCGCUAGUAAUCGCGGAUCAGCAUGCC